rnacentral:rRNA from 1 species
CUGGCGGAAGCUUACCAUGCAAGUCGAACGAUGAUUCCAGCUUGCUGGUAUGAUUAGUGGCGAACGGGUGAGUAAUGCUUAGGAAUCUGCCUGGUAGUGGGGGACAACAUUCCGAAAGGAAUGCUAAUACCGCAUACGACCUACGGGUGAAAGGGGGCGCAAGCUCUCGCUAUCAGAUGAGCCUAAGUCGGAUUAGCUAGUUGGUGGGGUAAAGGCCUACCAAGGCGACGAUCUGUAGCUGGUCUUAGAGGAUGAUCAGCCACACUGGGACUGAGACACGGCCCAGACUCCUACGGGAGGCAGCAGUGGGGAAUAUUGGACAAUGGGCGAAAGCCUGAUCCAGCCAUGCCGCGUGUGUGAAGAAGGCCUUUUGGUUGUAAAGCACUUUAAGUGGGGAGGAAAAGCUAAUAAUUAAUACCUAUUAGCCCUGACGUUACCCACAGAAUAAGCACCGGCUAACUCUGUGCCAGCAGCCGCGGUAAU